AGAGUUUGAUCAUGGCUCAGAGCGAACGCUGGCGGCGUGCUUAACACAUGCAAGUCGAGUGCGCGUUUCCGUAGCAAUACGGAAAUGGCGCACGGCGCACGGGUGCGUAACACGUGGGUAACCUGCCCUUUGGUGGGGAAUAACCUCGCGAAAGCGAGGCUAAUUCCGCAUAAGAUCCGCAAGGAUGAAAGCCGUAAGGCGCCGAAGGAGGGGCCCGCGCACGAUUAGCUAGUUGGUGAGGUAAUGGCUCACCAAGGCUAUGAUCGUUAGCUGGUCUGAGAGGAUGGCCAGCCACACUGGAACUGAGACACGGUCCAGACUCCUACGGGAGGCAGCAGUGGGGAAUCUUGCACAAUGGGCGAAAGCCUGAUGCAGCGACGCCGCGUGGGGGAUGAAGCUUCUCGGAGUGUAAACCCCUUUCGACCGGGACGAAUACCUCGCAAGAGGGGUGACGGUACCGGUAUAAGAAGCCCCGGCUAACUACGUGCCAGCAGCCGCGGUAAGACGUAGGGGGCCAGCGUUGCUCGGAAUUACUGGGCGUAAAGGGUUCGUAGGCGGUGUGGCAAGUCGGGAGUGAAAUCCCUGGGCUCAACCCAGGGGCUGCUUCCGAAACUGCUGUGCUAGAGUGUGGGAGAGGCGCGUGGAAUUGCAGGUGUAGCGGUGAAAUGCAGAUAUCUGCAGGAACACCCGUGGCGAAAGCGGCGCGCUGGACCACUACUGACGCUGAGGAACGAAAGCUAGGGGAGAAACAGGAUUAGAUACCCUAGUAGUCC
rnacentral:rRNA from 1 species